GCUAGGUGUGGUGGUGCAUGCCUGUAAUCCCAGCAGCUCGGGAGGCUGAGGCAGGAGGAUCACUGGUUCCAAGGCAGCCUCGGCAAAGGUGAGUUGCUUUGCAACUCAGUGAGACCCUGUCUCUA
rnacentral:sRNA from 1 species